UCCUUGCUGGCUCAAUGGUAAAGAAUCUGCCUGCAGUGCAGGUAACCUGGGUUCGAUCCCUGGGUCAGGAA
rnacentral:tRNA from 1 species